rnacentral:misc_RNA from 1 species
UCUCCGUAGGUGAACCUGCGGAGGGAUCAUUACAAGUGACCCCGGUCUAACCACCGGGAUGUUCAUAACCCUUUGUUGUCCGACUCUGUUGCCUCCGGGGCGACCCUGCCUUCGGGCGGGGGCUCCGGGUGGACACUUCAAACUCUUGCGUAACUUUGCAGUCUGAGUAAUCUAAUUAUUUACAACUUUCAACAACGGAUCUCUUGGUUCUG